GGAGAGCGUUCUGUAAGCCUGCGAAGGUGUCUUGUAAAGGAUGCUGGAGGUAUCAGAAGUGCGAAUGCUGACAUGAGUAGCGUUAAAGGGGGUGAAAAGCCCCCUCGCCGAAAGCGCAAGGUUUCCUACGCAACGUUCAUCGGCGUAGGGUGAGUCGGCCCCUAAGGCGAGGCAGAGAUGCGUAGCUGAUGGGAAACAGGUUAAUAUUCCUGUACCGAUCUAUAGUGCGAUGUGGGGACGGAGAAGGUUAGCUCAGCCAACUGUUGGAUAUGUUGGUUCAAGCAUGUAGGCGUGCUCUUUAGGCAAAUCCGGAGAGCUUAGCUGAGGUGUGAUAACGAGUCUGCUUGCAGACGAAGUGAGUGAUACCCUGCUUCCAGGAAAAGCCACUAAGCUUCAGCUAUAGAUUGACCGUACCGCAAACCGACACUGGUGCGCGAGAUGAGUAUUCUAAGGCGCUUGAGAGAACUCUGGAGAAGGAACUCGGCAAAUUGACACCGUAAC
rnacentral:rRNA from 1 species